CCAUUUUGCAGUUAUCGGUUUCUAUUUCAAUGUUUAUCUGUCCGUCUUAUUUAAAAAUUUAUGAAAAAAAUAAAAAAAUAAGUCACGCAUAAAGUACUACAUAUUUUAUCAUUCAAUAACAACAAAAAAAAAUAUUAAUCAUAAGAAAAUUUUAAAUAAGACGAAUGGUCAAACGUUAGACACAGAAAUCUAUAACUGCACUUAGG
rfam:Oryza nivara chromosome 3, whole genome shotgun sequence.